rnacentral:rRNA from 1 species
UACAUGGGGUGCAAACGUUGCUCGGAAUUAUUGGGCGUAAAGCGCACGUAGGCGGUUUGUUAAGUCGGAUGUGAAAUCCCUCGGCUCAACUGAGGAAGUGCAUCCGAAACUGGCAGGCUUGAGUACUAAAGAGGGUCGCGGAAUUCCCGGUGUAGAGGUGAAAUGCGCAGAUAUCAGGAGGAACACCGGUGGCGAAGGCGGGUCUCUGGGCCGUAACUGACGCUGAGGAGCGAAAGCGUGGGGAGCGAACAGG